rnacentral:rRNA from 1 species
AGAGUUUGAUCAUGGCUCAGAAUCAACGCUGGCGGCGUGCCUCAGACAUGCAAGUCGAACGCGAAAUUCCGAGCAAUCGGGAAAGUAGAGUGGCGCACGGGUGAGUAACACGUAGGUAAUCUACCUUUGGAUUGGGAAUAACACCGAGAAAUCGGUGCUAAUACCGAAUAAUGCAGCGGCACCUAAUGGUGACAGUUGUUAAAGCGGGGGAUCGCAAGACCUCGCGUCUGAAGAGGAGCCUGCGGCAGAUUAGCUAGUUGGUAAGGUAACGGCUUACCAAGGCGAUGAUCUGUAGCCGGCCUGAGAGGGCGGUCGGCCACACUGACACUGACAUACGGGUCAGACUCCUACGGGAGGCAGCAGUCGGGAAUUUUGGGCAAUGGGCGAAAGCCUGACCCAGCAACGCCGCGUGAAGGAUGAAAUCCCUCGGGAUGUAAACUUCGCAAGAACGGGGAAGAAUAAGUCUGUGCUAACACCACAGGCGAUGACGGUACUGUUUGUAAGCUCCGGCUAACUCCGUGCCAGCAGCCGCGGUAAUACGGGGGGAGCAAGCGUUGUUCGGAUUUACUGGGCGUAAAGGGCGCGUAGGCGGCCACCGCAAGUCGAUUGUGAAAUCUCCGGGCUUAACCCGGAAAGGUCAACCGAUACUGCGGGGCUAGAGUGCAGAAGGGGCAACUGGAAUUCUCGGUGUAGCGGUGAAAUGCGUAGAUAUCGAGAGGAACACCUGCGGCGAAGGCGGGUUGCUGGGCUGACACUGACGCUGAAGCGCGAAAGCUAGGGGAGCGAACGGGAUUAGAUACCCUAGUAGUCC